GGGGGGGGGGUGACCUUAUGAAAGCAGUUUCCACAACCAUAGGAGGCGAUAUGCCCGGGUUUUCAAAGUAGUUGAGGACCUAAGAGGCUUGGUGAGCUGUCACUUGGGAGCCUCAUCCCGAUAGGACCGACCGCGGUCGCCCUCAGCACGUCGCAGGAAGGAGCCCGAGAGAAGAGCCGCCUGGCCCGCGUUGGCUGCUGCCGUGCUGUCCCUAGGUCCGCAGUAAGCUGCCACUUCUACGAGCCGUGAGCUUAGUACCCUUUCACCCAGGCUCGGCCCCGCUCCGCCCCGAGGGCCACCUCACAGGUGCCCUUUCUACCCUGUGGGACCCUCGGCCUUAUUCACACACACCCCCCCCCCCCAUUCCCCCAAUACCUGGCCAACCUGCAGCCUCUGCUCCUCCAAGCGGUUCCCCCCCCACCCCUCGCAGAAAGGCCCCGGGCACCUGCCAGGUGCAGGCCCCGGCCCCCACCCCCGCCCCCCUUCCAGUCCUCUGCGCUCGGCCACCCCCGCCACCACGCGUGCGAGUCCCGGGGCGGUGCUUGCAGUGCCCCGCUGUGACUCCCUGCUCGUCCCGCCGGAGGGCCCGCCCCGCCCCCGCCCGGCAGCAUCGAGGAGCGGAACGCAGUCCCGGGCGGUGGCGGCCGCCGAAAAACUGCCCUCGCUUCUGGCUUCACAGGCCAGGCCCGGGCGCCUCCCGCUGCGUCCGCAAAGGAAGGCGGUUCUUAGGACGCGGAGGGGCCCGGGGUCUGUCCCGGAGCUCGGGGCCCGGCCGCGCUGGGGACCCGCGGCCGACGGCGCCCGCAGGGGAGGAGUCGCGCGGCGGCGGACAAAGGCGGCGCGGGCCGGUGGGCGGGGCUUGACGUCACGGGCCGGCGCCCCGCCCCCCCGGGGUGGGCCCCGCGCGGCCACAACAAUAGGCGAGGGGGCCUCUCGCCGCCGCUCCCCGCUCUCGCUCUUCCGCGCCGGCUGGGCGGCGGGGGCUUUGCAGACCGCGGGGCCCUAGCGAUCUCCUCGAUUUUACAGAAAUUCGCUUUCGGCGCCGACGUGCUUCUUUUAAAAAGGAAACGCGAGCGCGAAGCGGUCCCCGGCCGCUGUCGCCCCCGUCCGGCUGCCGGCCGGGGCACUCCGGCGGCCGGCUUCCGCGCGCGGCGGCCACCGGAGGGCGCCUCGGCGCCGUCGCCCUCUCCCCGGAGCACACUCUGCCUGAGACCCAGACCCGGGCUGGCCACCCCUGCCUCGGGGUCACCCGUCGGAGAACCCAGCUGGGUCAUUGUGUGACCUCAGGGCAGGUGCUGGCCCUCCCUGUGCCAAGGUUUCCCGCAGGACGAUUUUCAUUCUAGAACGUUAAGGGAAGAGCACAAGUGUCUCUUGAGUCGGCUACGCCUUCAUGGCCUUCACCUCAAAUAGCCCACAGAGGGGCACAUUCUGGGGAGACUUGCUCUGAACCCCUUCGGGGCCAAGGGCAGGUAUGCGAUGGGGAGCCGGCUCGGGGCUGGUCAGUAGGUACCAGUUUCCUCCUGGUCCCUCAGUCCUUUCCAGAAGGGAGUCAGGAUCCUGGCCCACUUAGCUCGGGGCUACUAAAGCUGGGUCUCGUCCUGCCUCAGUUUCCCCUUCUACACCCCCACUCCCUAGGACAGAUUCUUUGGCCACUCUAUAUGCCCCAGCUGGAAGCGAUCUGGAGACCAUCUGGGGAGCAUUCUCACUGGCCAGCUGUCCUAGGUGUGCUGGUCAGGACCUCCAGCCCUGCCUGGAGUGGGUGCUGCUUGUGGGGACCCCCACUCCUUCCCUGCUCCCCACCACCCCAGUCCAGACAGGACUCCAGGAUGGAGGAGACGGCAUCUUGGGCUCAAGGACUCCAUGUGGGGAGGUGACAUCGCCCCCCCUGGAACGGGAUCACCUGACGGGGGAGAAUCCCCCCCGACUCGGACCCACCCCCCCAAGGAUACCAGCCCUCGCAUCAUCCAGGGUACGUCUGGCAAGAGGGGGCCUCUCUCCCAGGGACGGGGGGUCACCCUUGGGAGCUGCCUGGAGGUGGGGGUCAGAGACACCCAGAGUGGGACGCUUUCCUGACAGGCCGGGUCCCCGAGCAGCCCGAGGGAGGGUGAGCGGGGCUCAGCAGAAAUCCGAGCCCAGAUAGGAGAGGCGCUCUUGUGAUCACGGGGGAGACAAGGCGCAUGUGAGGCCAUCGGCACCCGUCCCCGGGGCCCAGGCGGAGCCGUGACGCCCAGAGGGAAGGGAGCAUCAUGCAGUGUCCCGGUCCAGCUGACAUGGCCAGCGUGAGGUGGGCUGGGACACAAGGGCCUAGCUCUCCAGUCCCGGGACCUGGUUGUGGCUUUCCCCCUCAAUUCGGGGGCCCCCUGGUGUCCCCCGGCCGCUCUCCCAGCUCCGUCUCUCCGGGUUCAUUGUCACAUGUGCCCUGGCCCGGGACACCUCCUCCCUCCUGCCAUGUCAGCAUGUCAGUCUUCCCCCGGGCCCCGGGCCCACUCUGGCCUUGGCCGUGAGCGCCGUCUGCAUCCCUCAAGCCAGGGCCUCUGUUGCCUCGUGGGGUCUUGUCCUCGUGAUGCAUCUAGAUGGGGGCAUCGCGAGGGCAAAGGCCUCACUGCCUGCCCCAGUGCCUCACAUCCUGAGAGUGGGCCCCACGAGCCCCCAGGGCUUUGGGGUCCUGCACACUAAAGUUAAGGCCUGGAUCAGCCCUGUGAUGGUGUUAAAACGUGCCCUCGAUUCCUCGGCACGACUCCCUUCCAGGGAUGGGGCACAGUCCCCUCCCGUGGGGUGCGAGCUGGACCUCGCCUGGUGACUCCCGUAGAGGGAACAGGAGGUGGCGGUCAUGACAGGUGACAUCCGAGCCUGGGUCACAAAGGGUGUCGCGGCCUCCGUGUGCCUCUCUCUCGCUGGCCUUGCUCGCUCUGGGGGAAGAAGCCAGCGUGUCGUGAGGCCCUUUGAGCCACCUUCAGAGAGGCCCCUGGCGAGGGGCUGAGGCUCAGGCCAACAGGCCGCACUAACUCGCCAGCCGCGGGAGUGAGCGGCCUUGGGGGUGAAGCCUCCGGCCCCGGUCAAGCCUUCAGAUGACUGCAGCUCGGGCUCCUCUCCUGGCGACAGCCUCCUGAGAGACCCAGAGCCAGAAACAGCCAGACCUGAACUCCCACAUACAAUGUGAGGCAUAAGCAAGAUGUAUUGGGGUUUUUUUUAGUUUUGUUGUUGUUGUUUAUUUUGAGAGACAAAGAGAGUGAGUGGGGGAGGGGCAGAGAGAGAGAGAGACAGAGAGAGAGAGAGAGAAUCCCAAGCAGGCUUCUAUCAGUGUGGAGCCGGACGUGGUGCUUGAACUCACAAACCACACGAUCAUGACCUGAACUGAAAUCAAGAGUCAGGUGCCCCAAGAUGUGUUGUUUUUAAGUGACUUGAGUCUUAGGGUAAUUUGUUACCCAUCAGUAGGUAACCAAUAAAACUCCUUAAAAGCUGA